ACGGGUGAGUAACCGCGUAAUCAACCUGCCCUUCAGAGGGGGACAACAGUUGGAAACGACUGUAAUACCGCAUACGAUCCAAUCUCGGCAUCGAGACUGGAUGAAAGGUGGCCUCUAUUUAUAAGCUAUCACUGAAGGAGGGGAUUGCGUCUGAUUAGCUAGUUGGAGGGGUAACGGCCCACCAAGGCGAUGAUCAGUAGCCGGUUGAGAGGAUGAACGGCCACAUAGGGACUGAGACACGGCCCAGACUCCUACGGGAGGCAGCAGUGGGGAAUCUUCCGCAAUGGACGAAAGUCUGACGGAGCAACGCCGCGUGAGUGAUGACGGCCCUUCGGGUUGUAAAGCUCUGUUAAUCGGGACGAAAUGGUUUCUUGUUGCGAAU
rnacentral:rRNA from 1 species